GUGAGUAACCUGCCCUUGACUCUGGGAUAAGCCUGGGAAACUGGGUCUAAUACUGGAUACUACCUCUUACCGCAUGGUGGGUGGUGGAAAGGGUUUUACUGGUUUUGGAUGGGCUCACGGCCUAUCAGCUUGUUGGUGGGGUAAUGGCUCACCAAGGCGACGACGGGUAGCCGGCCUGAGAGGGUGACCGGCCACACUGGGACUGAGACACGGCCCAGACUCCUACGGGAGGCAGCAGUGGGGAAUAUUGCACAAUGGGCGGAAGCCUGAUGCAGCGACGCCGCGUGAGGGAUGACGGCCUUCGGGUUGUAAACCUCUUUCAGUAGGGAAGAAGCGAGAGUGACGGUACCUGCAGAAGAAGCGCCGGCUAACUACGUGCCAGCAGCCGCGGUAAUACGUAGGGCGCAAGCGUUGUCCGGAAUUAUUGGGCGUAAAGAGCUCGUAGGCGGUUUGUCGCGUCUGCUGUGA
rnacentral:rRNA from 1 species